CUCAGUAACAGGGUGUCCGCAUUUUACGGUGCCGCCGAGGGCCGGGGAUGCACCGGCAGGUCUCAAGUCUUCCUCCAGUCCUUAUAAACACCACAGGAAAGUGAUCUCAAACUGGGAAUUAAAAAAUAACUGUCAGUCAAAGGGAUUUCCAGAUAACCAAGCCAUCCCAACAUGGAUUCCCUCACCAAGGGAAUAAAAUCUUCCUGCCAAAGACUUCCCACCUAACAAGGAACAAUGAAUUUACUCCAGAUUUACUCCAGACUCUGCAGCCUCAGUCACACAAACCUACCAGGGAAGCAAAGAAAACUCCUUCCAGCCCUGCAGAGCCACACCACACACCGAGCUCCUCAGCUGCCUGCCCGAUGAUGCAAGGAGUGAAUAAGCAAGAAUAAAGACACAGAAACUGGGUGUUGUUUGUAGAAGUGAGGAGCGGAGCCCUCCACCCAGCGCUGGGGAUACCAGAGCUCUUGCACAACUCAGCUCUCAGCCUGCUGCUCCUUUUUAUGCAUCUCUGUCUCUGUGGUCGCUUUUUCACCAGGAGCACUCAGGAAGUUUCCUUUCCUCCCCAGCGGGGGGAGAAAGCAGCUCCCAGCGUGCGAGCAGCAGAGCUGGGAUGCCAGAGUGGGAUUCCUGCGUCAGGAUUUCCCUCAGCCUGUGCCGGCCUGCCAGGGCUGGCUCACGGGCAGCUAAUUCCUGCUACUGAGCUCUAAGAAUUGGAAGAUGAUCAUUAACUACAAUUGGUUUGAAAGCUUCCAGUUUUGUAGAUGUUGAGUGA